GCAGCUUCCCCACCACCCUGAACCAGACCCUCCUCCCUUCGGAGUCUCCCAGAAAGAAAAAUAAUACAGCCAUCUUCUCGCUUCUGGCAAUCUUUCACCAUCGGCCACACACACUAUGCAGGCAUUGGCAAAUGUUCCAGUACAAGUACAAGAACCUGCAGUGGAGGAGCUGGGAAGAUAGCUUAGUUGCUAAUGCGAUUGCCAGCAAGCAUGAGAACCUGAGUUCGAAACCCAGCACCUGCACGAAAAGCUGGCUAUGCUGAUAGAAACUGAAACCAGAGAACCCAUGGGUCCAGGAAGUCUGACUGUAAGUAAAGAAUCACAACGUAAGGUGAGCCAUUUGCACCAGAGGGGACAAGGAUGGAGUACCGCAGGCUUCACUGUAUAUAUAUAGGAGGAACAGAGAUUACAGAACUCAGGCAAGGUCCAAGGUCAUGGAACCAUCAGGCAGUGAGGCCCAUGAAGUCCUGGAACCAGUCAGUCAUGUGAUUACACUCUCGGAGGGGCUUUGGAGAGUGUUUUAAGGUUUACUUUUGUCUGUCAUGGCUAAUACGGUUGUGAGGAUUCUGGGAUACUCAACAUGCAGCGACACCAGACUACAUGGUACAUAUAUGCCUGCAUGUCUCCUGGAGCUAGCAGUCCCCUCCCCUGGCUCUCAGUCCCACUCAGGCUCUGGAGGUUUUGGGAAUCCUGAGAGGCACUCCCUGGCAUCCAGCUACGUCCAUCAGCAUCCUGCAAUAUUUUUGUUUGUUUGUUUUACUCUCUUCUGCAUACCCUCUGAUCUCCACUCAGGUCACUUUCCAUGGGCAAGCAGGAAGCUUAAGCCUAGAAGGAGAUCUAAACCGUCUUACCCCUUCAGCAAGGGACUUAAUUUGCUGCCUUCGCUGGGGGCUCUGCUGUACCCUUUUGCUGGGAUUUGCCUCCCCUCUCUCAUAAGGAUUACACCUUCCUCUGGGAUUGGCUCGCUUUUUAGAUGGGGAUUUAUUUGAGAUUGGCAAAUGAAAUAUAUCUAGCCAUUAGCCUGUUGCCACUAUUCCUGUCUGGUCAGCUAAAUGCUCAGCUCAGCUGGGCAUCCCCAAAGGUCCUGGUGGCCAUCUCUCAUUCACCCAAGUCCUGGAUCUUCCAGCCACAGCAGGAUGGCAGGAGCAUAAUGCCUUCCUGUGCCCCCACCAUUGCUCCUACUUGGAUGACAGGCUUUGUUUUGUUCCCUAUUGUUUUGUUUCAGAUUCUGACUUCCUCAACAAUUGAAUGCUCACAGACACUUUGAGAAAAAAAAAAAAGAAAAAAAACCCUUAUUUUCCAUUGACUAAAUCUGGAAAUCAUUCUGUGAUCAUCCAGCAAGAGGAUAUGUCAUUUCUUGCUUUCGCCUCGAUUCUUUAUCCCAUUGGAUAUGGGAAUUAGAUAAGAUUAAGUUCUUAGGCAGCAUCAACUUAUGGGGUGGGCAGAUCCUGCACCCGCCCAACUGUGUGAGGACAUCGUGGCUAUCUGCUUAAACGGAAGACAACCUGGUCGCCGCGCACACAGAUAGAGCCACCGAGGUCGGCUUUAAGUAGAACAGCAUCAGGUUACUCUGAGGUGACAGUUUCUAAAUGAGAGCAAAACUGUGUAAUAAGAUUUUAAAAAUUGGACCCAUUCUUAGUUCGCUAGCUCCCCGGCCAGUGACAAAAUAUGCCAUUAGUGGCCACAGCGUGAUUCUGAAAAUAUACCUUCCUUACGAUUUAACGCUUUUUUUUUUCCCUGUGAGCUAAAAAUUACAAAGCCCCGGAUUUCAUUGCUCUUGCCAUCUAUUCUUUUCCCCUGACUUCCUGUUUUCAUGAAAUUUUAAUCAGGCACUUAAAAUAAAUAGCUAUGCAGAGCUUUGCCGCCUCCUCCAAUAGUGGAUGGAUGUUUGGUGGGUAAAGUGAUAGUUUAGGGCCUUAAGAACAGCGAGCAGGACAGAAAUUAAAACACGGCCAGGUCUGUGGCCACAAACCCGGAGGGGGCAGAGUGGUCCUCCAAGAGCCAACAAACGUCCAAUAUAUUGGUUUUGUGUGUUUCGUUUUUUUUUUUUCUCCUCCUUCCACUAUUUACAGCAAUUUGAUCAACUCAGAAGACAAGCAAAAUAAAACACAAUUAAAAUACAUACACUAUUCCAGGUAAAGAAAGAUUAAAAGGAUGGUGACCUUCUCAAAUCCCUUUAAAGUAGAACUAUGGACCCUUCGGUGGGGGGAAUGCUCCUUUGACUGCAGGUGCUUCGUGAUAUGUGUUCUGACUUUCUUCAUUUAAACAGAAAGAUGCUCAAUUUUGAAAAAAAGAAAUGACUGAGAUGAUUUUUUUUUCUAUUUCUACCUUCUGGAAUGAUCACAUCAGCAAAUGACUUUCUAGAAAAAGUUUCAGGUAUGGUUCAUAAAAAUUCCAUUGCAUGUAAGGAUGAGUUGCCUUUCAAGUAAUGUUUUCUGAUUUCAUGCACUAGGAGAAAAGGGACAAGUCUAGAGGAAGAAUGUGGCUGCCCCCAUUCAUACUCUGCAUAGUUCUGGGAUCCUUCAAGAGCAUUCUUGGAGACCCUUGAAGAAAACAACAGCCUUGCUUUGAACUGCCUUACUGUUGGAUGACCAAGUCUGGUCAGCAAGAGGCUCUUAAUUCAUUGAUAAUGAUUUAUAAAAUUUAAAUGAAAUAAAAUGGUGUGUGAGGUGCAGGGGAGAGUUCCACUAAAGAAAAGGAAGAGGACAGAAUCCCCACCCAGUUCAUUUUCUAAUGCCAACACUUAGUGACCUCAUAGAAUGGGCUGUCUGGGAUGUUCCUGUCCAGGUUCAACUCCAAGCUCCCAGCAGUGUUCGCCCCUUCCCUUGGGUGAUUCCACUGAGCAGUGGUCUGAUUUUUUGGCACGGCGAGCCUGGAGGAGGAAGCCAAGCUGCUGCGGUUGGAUGCUUCUCGCUUCUGUGAACCACCCACACGAUCAACAGAGGCUGUCCCAGUGGCUGGGAAAUCAUCUUGCUUUUGGCGGAAAACAACGGAAACAAACAAACAAACAAAAAAAAUGCCGACAAAAAAACCUUACUGCUUGGGUAGGAACUGAGCAAAACCAUCCAAGUUAAGCAAAACUGAGCAAAGCGGGGCUCUCUCUGUGCACUGAAAUCUAUAUUCAGCAUGUAGGUUCUUGGCAGAGCUGCAGCUGGGUUUGGCUUUGGGUAAUGGCAAACUGUUUCUCAAAUAGCCUGUUCCCCUAAUAAAACACAGUUUGACUUAA